rnacentral:Y_RNA from 1 species
GACUGGUCUAAGUGCAGUGGUGGUUACAACUAAUUGAUCACAACCAGUUACAGGUUUCUUUGUUCCUUCUCCACUCCCACUGCUUCACUUGACUAGCCUUAA